UACGUAGGGGGCAAGCGUUGUCCGGAAUUAUUGGGCGUAAAGAGCGUGUAGGCGGUCCGGUAAGUCAGCUGUGAAAGUCAAGGGCUCAACCCUUGAAUGCCGGUUGAUACUGUCGGGCUAGAGUCCGGAAGAGGCGAGUGGAAUUCCCGGUGUAGCGGUGAAAUGCGCAGAUAUCAGGAGGAACACCGGUGGCGAAGGCGGGUCUUCUGGGCCGAUGACUGACGCUGAGGAGCGAAAGCGUGGGGAGCGAACAGG
rnacentral:rRNA from 1 species